rnacentral:rRNA from 1 species
UAGGGAAUCUUCGGCAAUGGGGGCAACCCUGACCGAGCAACGCCGCGUGAGUGAAGAAGGUUUUCGGAUCGUAAAGCUCUGUUGUAAGAGAAGAACGUGUGUGAGAGUGGAAAGUUCACACAGUGACGGUAACUUACCAGAAAGGGACGGCUAACUACGUGCCAGCAGCCGCGGUAAUACGUAGGUCCCGAGCGUUGUCCGGAUUUAUUGGGCGUAAAGCGAGCGCAGGCGGUCUAAUAAGUCUGAAGUUAAAGGCAGUGGCUUAACCAUUGUUCGCUUUGGAAACUAUUAAACUUGAGUGCAGAAGGGGAGAGUGGAAUUCCAUGUGUAGCGGUGAAAUGCGUAGAUAUAUGGAGGAACACCGGUGGCGAAAGCGGCUCUCUGGUCUGUAACUGACGCUGAGGCUCGAAAGCGUGGGGAGCAAACAGG